rnacentral:rRNA from 1 species
CUACGGGUCGCUGCAGUGAGGAAUAUUGGUCAAUGGGCGCGAGCCUGAACCAGCCAUCCCGCGUGCAGGAUGACGGCCCUAUGGGUUGUAAACUGCUUUUCUAUGCCAAGAAACCUGAUUACGUGUAAUCAGUUGCCGGUAGCAUAGGAAUAAGCAUCGGCUAACUCCGUGCCAGCAGCCGCGGUAAUACGGAGGAUGCAAGCGUUAUCCGGAUUCAUUGGGUUUAAAGGGUGCGCAGGUGGGCUUGUAAGUCAGUGGUGAAAUGCUGCCGCUUAACGGUAGAACUGCCAUUGAUACUGCGAGUCUUGAGUAUGGUUGAGGUAGGCGGAAUGUGUUGUGUAGCGGUGAAAUGCAUAGAUAUGACACAGAACGCCAAUUGCGAAGGCAGCUUACUAAGCCAUUACUGACGCUGAGGCACGAAAGCGUGGGGAGCGAACAGGAUUAGAUACCCGCGUAGUC